GAUGAACGCUAGCUACAGGCUUAACACAUGCAAGUCGAGGGGCAGCAUUUUAGUUUGCUUGCAAACUAAAGAUGGCGACCGGCGCACGGGUGAGUAACACGUAUCCAACCUGCCGAUAACUCGGGGAUAGCCUUUCGAAAGAAAGAUUAAUAUCCGAUGGUAUAUUAAAACCGCAUGGUUUUACUAUUAAAGAAUUUCGGUUAUCGAUGGGGAUGCGUUCCAUUAGUUUGUUGGCGGGGUAACGGCCCACCAAGACUACGAUGGAUAGGGGUUCUGAGAGGAAGGUCCCCCACAUUGGAACUGAGACACGGUCCAAACUCCUACGGGAGGCAGCAGUGAGGAAUAUUGGUCAAUGGGCGAGAGCCUGAACCAGCCAAGUAGCGUGAAGGAUGAAGGCUCUAUGGGUCGUAAACUUCUUUUAUAUGGGAAUAAAGUUUUCCACGUGUGGAAUUUUGUAUGUACCAUAUGAAUAAGGAUCGGCUAACUCCGUG
rnacentral:rRNA from 1 species